UACGACUACAUAUCAGGCAUAUCAAUAAGCGGAGGAAAAGUCAAUACCUACGCUUAGGAUGUUGACACACGCGCGUGCUUGACUCUAUACAUGACUCUGCGCAUAUCAAUAAGCGGAGGAAAAGAGGGCUAUUACCUACGCUUAGGAUGUUGACGAGACUGUCGAUCUCAUCUAUACAUGACUCUGCGCAUAUCAAUAAGCGGAGGAAAAGAAACUAACAAGGAUUCCCCUAGUAACGGCGAGUGAAGCGGGAAGAGCUCAAAUUUGAAAUCUUAAAGGGUUUCCCUUUACGAAUUGUAGUUUAAAGAAGUGUUUUCUGUUGAGGUUUUGGUAAAAGUUCUUUGGAAUAGGACAUCAUAGAGGGUGAGAAUCCCGUAUUUGACCUUACUUUCAACUUUGUGAUACACUUUCAAAGAGUCGGAUUGUUUGGGAAUGCAGUCCAAAAUGGGUGGUAAAUUUCAUCUAAAGCUAAAUAUUGGCGAGAGACCGAUAGCGAACAAGUACCGUGAGGGAAAGAUGAAAAGAACUUUGAAAAGAGAGUUAAACAGUACGUGAAAUUGUCAAAAGGGAAGCGUUUGACACCAGUGUUGUUUUUCUGAAAAUCAAUUAAAGAACUGUUUAUGCUAAGUUGUUUAGACUUUAUCAGCUAACUGUUUAGUUUUGAGCUUUUCUUUAAUGCACUUUUCAGUUAACAAGUCAACAUCAAUUUCUUUUGCUGUAAAAAAGCUUGAGGAAGGUGGCUUGAGAUUCGUCUUAAGUGUUUAUAGCCUCUUGCCUAUGCAGUCGGAGAGAUUGAGGUCUGCAGCGUAGAUCCUUCGGGGCUAAAUGCAUUUGUGCUAAGUUAUAGCAUUUUAUAGACAACUUGUUGACUAUGAUUUGUCUUGUAGCUUACUCGCUUAUGUUAUUUUACCUACGCUUAGGAUGUUGAUCUACAGAGCGAGAG
rnacentral:rRNA from 1 species